UUUAAAAUAAAAUAAUGAUAUAGAUUUAUUUACUUACAGUACAUUGUUUGUAUAUAAUAUUCAUAUUAUUAAACUGUGGAAACACAAAUUUCUAUAACUCAGUACAUUUUGCAUAUUAUUGAAUUCGGAUUGUAGUACAUGAUUUUCAAGUUGAAACUCAUACACAUAACUUAAUUUUUUUAAGUGUGAAUCUCCAUUUCAAUAUCAUUUUCUGAUUGGUCAACAUUUUUAAAGUUUUUUUGUUGCAUCUAUUUGUAUUCUAAAUUCAAAAAUUGAUGAAUGAGUGUACCAAAACACCUCCUCCUAAAUUUAAUUGUACUGUGGCAAUGAUCAUCAGCACUCAUCUACAGAAAACAUAAAAGACAAACUAAUCCAUAUUUAAAUUUACAAUAGUUAUUAAAUAAUACCUAAUGUGUUUGUUUUAUUCCAUGCAAUGUUUAUGUCCAAAAGAGCAUGUUGUUUAAUUAUUAUUUUUAAUUUUAAAUAUUUAAUUUUAAUGUAAUUAUUUUUUAUUUUGCUUACUUAAUUUGCAUUAAUUAUUUAUUAAAAACCCAUUUUAUGUGUAGUUUAUUUGUUUUUAUAGUAUACAACUUAUUGUUAAAUAAACCAAAUUAAAUAUUUCCUAUACCUAUACUCUGUUCCAUCUAAGAGUGAACCACUCAACCGAACAAAAUCCGUUUUUUUCGCGCAUCCCCACCACAAUCCGGACAUUGGUGAGGGCGUUAGCACAGGCGCCUGAUGACUGCCUGCGAUGACUUUUGGCCAAUCACAGAAAG